CAGCAGCCGCGGUAAUACCGGCGGCCCGAGUGGCGGUCACUUUUAUUGGGCUUAAAGCGUCCGUAGCCGGGUUGGGAAAUCCUCCGGGAAAUCUGGCCGCUUAACGGUCAGAAUGCCGGAGGACACUCCCAGCCUAGGGAGCGGGAGAGGCCGAGGGUAUUCCCGGAGUAGGGGUGAAAUCCUAUAAUCCCGGGAGGACCACCUGUGGCGAAGGCGCUCGGCUGGAACGCGUCCGACGGUGAGGGACGAAGGCCAGGGGAGCAAACCGGAUUAGAUACCCGGGUAGUCCUGGCUGUAAACGAUGCGGACUUUGUGUCGGACAAGCUAUGAGCUUGUCCGGUGCCGGAGGGAAACCGUUAAGUCCGCCGCCUGGGGAGUACGGCCGCAAGGUUGAAACUUAAAGGAAUUGGCGGG
rnacentral:rRNA from 1 species